rnacentral:lncRNA from 1 species
UAGGGGGUUCAUGGUGUAGUUUUUGAAGGGGGUCGAAGUUUAGUUGAAUUAUUAUGAUUAUAUUAUUGAAUAUAUGUGUUUAAAACUAGAAUCCAAAAGAAAUAUAUGAAAUUUCUAAUUAUAGGAAAAUGAAAUAAUUUGGGAAUGCCCAAUGAUGGUUCAUUAGAUGUUUUUGUCAGUUCUCUGUAAACUAGUGAUGUUUAUUGUCCUUUUCAUAUACACUGGCGGCAAUUAUUACCACUAAUAAACGAUCUUAUCUUAUAACCACAAGAAACUAUUGUUUCCUUGCUUCCAUUGAUUCCAUUAAUCCGAAUAUUCCAUUUCCUUCACGUCGCCAACUACUAAUCCAAAUAUUCAAAUUUUAACUCAGUUUUCCACUAAAAAAAUCGUUAUUCAAAAAGA